rnacentral:rRNA from 1 species
GAUGAACGCUGGCGGCGUGCCUAAUACAUGCAAGUCGAGCGAACAGAUGAGGAGCUUGCUCCUCUGACGUUAGCGGCGGACGAGUGAGUAACACGUGGAUAACCUACCUAUAAGACUGGGAUAACUUCGGGAAACCGGAGCUAAUACCGGAUAAUAUAUUGAACCGCAUGGUUCAAUAGUGAAAGACGGUUUUGCUGUCACUUAUAGAUGGAUCCGCGCCGCAUUAGCUAGUUGGUAAGGUAACGGCUUACCAAGGCAACGAUGCGUAGCCGACCUGAGAGGGUGAUCGGCCACACUGGAACUGAGACACGGUCCAGACUCCUACGGGAGGCAGCAGUAGGGAAUCUUCCGCAAUGGGCGAAAGCUUGACGGAGCAACGCCGCGUGAGUGAUGAAGGUCUUCGGAUCGUAAAACUCUGUUAUUAGGGAAGAACAAAUGUGUAAGUAACUAUGCACGUCUUGACGGUACCUAAUCAGAAAGCCACGGCUAACUACGUG